UGUUACGCCUCUAGUUGUGAUGACCCAUCCAUUCCAUUACUAUGGAAAGUGAUGAGCUACAAGAUUGUGAAAGAACUACAUUUCUUUUACCAAGAAGGCAAUUUUCACUUCAAAAAUUAAUUUGGAAUGAGAAGCUGAGAUGUGGAUGUUGAAGGAAAGGAUGGGGCAGAUCAGUGGGCAAGAGGGGUUACAUGUUGGGUUCAGAUCCUCAGAAGACUGGUUUUCACAUGCCUAAAUAGUCUGUAUACAUCAGCAGACACAUGUAAUAUCAAAAAAUGCAGGUUCUUUGCUAUUUCUGUCUUUGUCAUAAAGUAAAGAAGAUGAUAUCCAGCUUCUGGUACUGAAAUUAAGCAAAAAUACCUGAGUAUUUUUGGCUUGUUUUCUAAGCCAGUUUUCAUCUUUGUCUUAUUUCUCUUCUCUGCCAUUCUCUCUUUUCUCUGUAGAGCCAAAUCUCUCCACUUUCAAAGCACAAGUCAUGUGAUUUAAUGAGUACUUGGGCUGCUCUUAACAAGUGAGGUCUCCUCUGUUCUUCACAAACAUCUCCCAUUCUAGGAGGCUGAGCUCAUCAGCAAUGUUGGUAGCAUUGGAAAGAUCCUCGUUUAAUAACAAAUAAUGCCAAGCAGGAACUUAGAGCAGACUCAGAGAAUCACACUCUUUUUUGUUCUUGGUGUUUAGGCUGGGAUUUCUUAAAGGCAGAUAUAGGUAGCUACAGGUUUAUUCAGUGACAGCACACUGCUGCUCUGGUCCUAGAUAAGGUGAUUAGACAAUACUCAUUUAAAAUUAUUGUUCAUAUGAGCUUGUAGCGUAACUAGAUGGUGACUUUGAAAUACCUCUCAUUUUAUAAUGAACUUUUGGGAGCAUUGUCUCUCAUAUAAUGAGGUCUGUCACUUGGAUGUGGAUUUGUGUCCAUGCAAGGUUCCACAGAUGCCUCCUGUACUCAAGUGGAGACAUGGGAAAAGGGUAAUCCAAUGGAACACCACAGAUAUUAGUGGUUUUUACUUUUUAGGAGUUUGGGUCCUGAGGUCAUCUCCCAGCAGGCUCUCCUCUCUAGCCCUUGUGGUAAAGAGGCAAUGGCACUGAGUGCUUGCCUGUCCACUUGUUUUCUUUUCAAGGAAAUUAUUCAAUGCUUAGUGAAGAACAUGGAGAAAGAAGCAAGGAAGCUCCACCAGCAACUGUCCACAUCAGAUUUCUUUUCUGAUUUUCCCUCAAAGAUGCCCUGAUACUGCAGUUUCAGUCAGAUGCCCUUUGCCUUCUCCAUCACCUAUUACACAAAUACACACUGCAUUGGAGGGGCAAUUGCUCAAAGAGCAGGAGUGUGGAUAGUGUCGUAGGCAAACGUGGCUGGGAUGAGAAGGUACAGAAAGAAGAGAUUAAGGAUUUGGAGUGAGCAGUGGGAGGGGAGGAUGGCAGUGUUAGCCUAACUGCUUUAUGUGUCAAGAUGCUGUCCUAGAAAACUGUCACAUGGCUGCCUCUAGCUUCUCUCCUGUUCUCUCAAAAUAUGCCAUGACCCAUCAGUGGCUCCCUCUUAGUUGACACAUGCUGGCUUCACAAGCUGAGCUGCAUUUUCCCCAGCAGAAGCUUUCAGAAAGGAGCACUGCUCAUAGCAAGGAGAGAACUGGGGCUGGCCUCUUUGCCUUGCUUUCAACCACUGGUUAGCAGUGUUUAGGAUCCACCAGAAAACCUCUCUUGGCUUCACCAAAGUGUAGGUUUAACCUUAAUCUGAUUUUCCACAGGAGGAAAACCCAAUUACUUCCCAUAAAGGAACAGUUGCUUUGGGUGAGGAACUUUGUUUCUAGCAAGGAUAGUGUUGCUCAGGGUGCAGGUAAAAGGUGUAACACUGUGUAGUGGUUUAGGACACACUGUAAAGCUCUUUUAUGCUUGUAAGGUUCAUUACUUUCAAGGGCUUCCUGUGGUACAAUAUAAAAUAUUUUCAUCACUCAAGUUUGAGAAAGAAAAAAGACAGAUUUCACCAUAAGAAAAAUUUCAUUUCGAGGGUGAGUUCUGCAAACACAGGUAAAGGCAAAAUAGAUGUAGUUUGUGAAUACUACUCCAAUUUUCAAAGUACAAAUUUGUGUUACCCUUGACUUUUAUUAUGUUGACCCAAAUUUCCACCAGGUGGCAUGGUUUGACCCCUGCCUGAAACCAGAAAUUCUGGACAAAAGUGAAUUUCUGAGGGACCAGGUUUCAGAGCUAAAGACAUCAAGAAGCUUUCUGUUGAUUUUGACAGGGCUGUUGGUGAUGAACCUUUGGUGGUAAGCAGAAGGAUUGUUGGAAAGAAAAGCUUUUCUCAGAUUUUUUUUUUAAAGAAUUAUCACAGAUUAGAAGUGCAAAACUAUUCUCUCCUCUUCACAUUUCUUAAAACAACUUUUAGGUGGAGUCCAUACUAUAUGGGGUAAGAUACGUAUUUUUACAGGCACAGGGAGUCAAACUGAAAAUCAUGAAAAUAAUGAGUAAUGUGCUGCAGUAAGUCAGAAUAGCUGCAAUUACUUAGAUGUUUUUUUAGCAUGAGGUAUUCUAUAUCAGCACUGAGUUUUUGAUUAUGGUACUUUAAUCAAAGCUGAGUGUUUUCUCACUGUCUUCCUAGGGCUCUAAGAAACAGAUUCAGAGUAACUUCAGUGCUUCCACGUUUUUCAUGUCACUGUAAGAUGAAGCAUUUUGGUUAAUUCUUUGGAGGAGCUCACGUGGGAGCAGUUAAUCUGAUAUGACUGUUAAUAUCUGGUCUUUUUGCCUUACCAGCAUUGUUGUCAAACAUUUCUUUCACUUCAACUGAAGCAAAUGUUAUGUUUAUGUGGUUGACUCCUAUUCAGUGAGGACUGAUUCCUGGGAAACCUGUCUGGCUGAGUAUUACUUCACAGAAACGCUGCUGCACUCCAAGGGUCACUGGAGUGGAUGUGCUCCUUAUUUGCAUCAUCAGCCACAGUAUUCAGAGAGGUUAAUUUGGUUUAGGUGCUGGGAUGGAGGAGGAUAAUUGCUCCUUUACAUUUAGCAAAUGUAAAAUUACUAGUACUUCUAUUCUGUACUAGAGAUGUUAAGCUGCAAGCAAGAGUGCAGAGUGUUUUAUUUGAGUAGACCACAUUCUUUGUGAAACCAGAGAUCUUAUAUUUAUGACACUGCAGGUGACCCCAUGUACUCACUGAACCCAUUUUAGUGAAACAGGGCAAGACACUCAGAUGCUGAAGGGUAAAAGUUACAGAUGUCUACUGGUGAUUUACAGGAUUGCUGGUUUUUCCUGUUGAAUCAUUAUGGAGGAUGUAUUUCUUCAACUGCAAAUAUGCUAGAAGAUGCUUGAGACAGCAAAGCCUUUAUUGCAUGAUGUGACUUGGAUGCAUGCAUGGAUCCAGUCUUCCUGAAAAACAAAAAUAUUUCAACACUGUAUCAAUGUGAAAGAGUAACAAUAUAGGCUUCUGUGUGUUUAGAACAGGUCCUUUUUAAUUCCAUUGUUUGAGUUGAAUAUUUUCUUAGAUUUCCCUUGCUUCCUGACUGGAACCAUGCACUAAUUAUCUUUCACUUCUACCUCCUAAAUUCUCCUCCUCUUCCUAAUGUAAGUAACAAUGCAAAAGGGGAGGGAGAGGGGGAGGCCAAGCUAAGCAAAGCAGAAAAUGAGCAGCAAAUAAUUUGUUUUUCUGUAUCUAUUAUUAUAUGUAGCAAUUAAUAUUUAUUAUAGUCAUGUAUGUAUUUUCUGCCCUGCUUUCUAACACCACAUGGGUAUGUCUCCUGUCUGCUGAGCCUUGCUCUGCUUGCUAUGUGUAGUCUGUAGCAUUUGUGAGAAUAUUGGUUUGUCGGUGAGCUUCUGAAGUCCUUGCCUCUACUUGUGUUGAUUCCAAAUAAAAUUUCGUCUCUACGGGUUCUUAA